UACGAAGGGGGCUAGCGUUGCUCGGAAUCACUGGGCGUAAAGCGCACGUAGGCGGAUCUUUAAGUCAGGGGUGAAAUCCCAAGGCUCAACCUUGGAACUGCCUUUGAUACUGGGGAUCUCGAGUCCGGAAGAGGUGAGUGGAACUGCGAGUGUAGAGGUGAAAUUCGUAGAUAUUCGCAAGAACACCAGUGGCGAAGGCGGCU
rnacentral:rRNA from 1 species